UGAGGAACAUGACCUUCGGCGGGGGAUAGCCGGCCCAACGGCCGGGUAAUACCGCGUACGACCACAUGGGGACAUCCCUGAGUGGUGAAAGCAGCAAUGCGCCGAUGGAGUGCCUCGCGGCCUAUCAGCUAGUUGGUGAGGUAACGGCUCACCAAGGCAAACGACGGGUAGCUGGUCUGAGAGGAUGGCCAGCCACAUUGGGACUGAGACACCGGCCCAGACCUGUACGGGAG
rnacentral:rRNA from 1 species